rfam:Gossypium arboreum cultivar AKA8401 contig_14502_1, whole genome shotgun sequence.
UGUUAAAAAUUUUAUCCAUUUGUAUAGUUAAAAACUAGUGUGGCUAACAGAAUAAUUAGAUAGUGACACGUAAUGUGUCACAUGUACUUCAUAUUGAUGUAUAAGGGCCAAUUUUAAACAAUAGAACCGAUAAAAUUUUUAACA